CAGCACCUCAAGUGGUCAGGAUGAUUAUUGGGCCUAAAGCAUCCGUAGCCGGCGCUGUAAGUUUUCGGUUAAAUCUGUACGCUCAACGUAUAGGCUGCCGGGAAUACUGCAGCGCUAGGGAGUGGGAGAGGUAGACGGUACUCGGUAGGAAGGGGUAAAAUCCUUUGAUCUAUUGAUGACCACCUGUGGCGAAGGCGGUCUACCAGAACACGUCCGACGGUGAGGGGUGAAAGCUGGGGGAGCAAACCGGAUUAGAGACCCGAGUAGUCC
rnacentral:rRNA from 1 species